GGGUUGUGAGGUUAAGCGACUAAGCGUACACGGUGGAUGCCCUGGCAGUCAGAGGCGAUGAAGGACGUGCUAAUCUGCGAAAAGCGUCGGUAAGGUGAUAUGAACCGUUAUAACCGGCGAUGUCCGAAUGGGGAAACCCAGUGCAAUUCGUUGCACUAUCGUUAACUGAAUACAUAGGUUAACGAGGCGAACCGGGGGAACUGAAACAUCUAAGUACCCCGAGGAAAAGAAAUCAACCGAGAUUCCCCCAGUAGCGGCGAGCGAACGGGGAGCAGCCCAGAGUCUGAAUCAGCUUGUGUGUUAGUGGAACGGUCUGGAAAGUCCGACGGUACAGGGUGAUAGUCCCGUACACCAAAAUGCACAGGCUGUGAACUCGAAGAGUAGGGCGGGACACGUGGUAUCCUGUCUGAAUAUGGGGGGACCAUCCUCCAAGGCUAAAUACUCCUGACUGACCGAUAGUGAACCAGUACCGUGAGGGAAAGGCGAAAAGAACCCCGGCGAGGGGAGUGAAAAAGAACCUGAAACCGUGUACGUACAAGCAGUGGGAGCACCUUCGGGUGUGACUGCGUACCUUUUGUAUAAUGGGUCAGCGACUUAUAUUCUGUAGCAAGGUUAACCGUAUAGGGGAGCCGCAGGGAAACCGAGUCUUAAC
rnacentral:rRNA from 1 species